UGUGUAGGCGGAAAAAUAAGCGUCGCGUGAAAUCCCCCGGCUUAACCGGGGAACUGCGUGGCGAACUGUUUUUCUUGAGGCAAGUAGGGGUACAUGGAACUCUUGGUGGAGCGGUGGAAUGCGUAGAUAUCAAGGGGAACGCCAGUGGUGAAAACGAUGUACUGGGCUUGUUCUGACGCUGAGACACGAAAGCGUGGGGAGCGAACAGGAUUAGAUACCCUGGUAGUC
rnacentral:rRNA from 1 species